GCAUCGAAUAGUUGUCUGUCGAACUUCUUUAUUCGUGUUGGAUUGUCAAUUGCCGAGCUCCUUUUCGAUUUUUACGUCGUUCGAAGGUACCCGGUUGCCAUUGCACCAACCCAUCUUUUCCGUCAAUGGCCGCAGGCUCGCCCGGGGCCAUUCGGGCUCGGGGUCCCUCUUAGGGCUUGAGUUCGGGGGUCCGAGCUUCUGUCACCCUG
rnacentral:lncRNA from 1 species